UUGCAGAAGGCAAUGCGAACAGUGACUUCACACACACUUUACACAUUUACAUUAUCAGCUUGUUCUCAGUUGCCAAGGUUUCGUCUUUCUCGCUUAACAAUUCGGUUGCGUUUAAUCCGCCCUCUCUCUCUCUCUGGUUUGUUGUGAUCGGUUCCGAGUUCAGGUAAGAUCAGUGACUGGAGAAAAUCAAUUCUUCAAAACGAAAAUAUCUGAGGAAGCGAAAUCCGGGGGAGUUCGUUAGAUAAUGGCGUCGUCGAAGGUGAUGGCGACCACGUCAUCGACGAAUCACGAUCUGCCACAUCAAUCAUCCCUAUGCUCCUCGAUCUCUUCUCUCCUCGCCGAUCUCCAACAGCAGCAGCAAAGCCUCGACCAAACCGGUGAUCCCUUGGUCUCUUCCAUGAGCAUGGACGAUCUCUUGAAGAACAUAUAUGCCUCCACCUCUCCUCAGCCACCAGUGCAGGGAGAGUCUCACGCGCAGUUCCCCGGCGCGUCCGAAACAAGCGAUGGCGCCGCUUGUAUUGGCAACGCAAAGUCCGUGGAGGAUGUGUGGAAGGAGAUCGUGGCGGGCGGGAACCAGAGUCUGACUAUUGCCGGCGGAGGUCCUGGUGAGAUGACGCUGGAGGAUUUCUUGACCAAGGCAGGGGCCGUGAGUGAGGAGGACGUUAGGAUGCAUAAUCAGGUGGGAGCUAGUACAGGUACUGUAUAUGCUGUGGAUGCAACUUUGGCGUAUGCCAAUGGCGGAAUUGGAAUGGGGGAACCAGUGCGAAGAGGAGGUAAGAGAAGAGUAGUAGAGGAACAACCACUUGAUAAGGCCACACAGCAAAAGCAGAGGCGCAUGAUCAAGAACAGAGAGUCCGCUGCCAGGUCCCGAGAGCGCAAGCAGGCAUACACUGUAGAGCUUGAGUCCCUUGUGACACAGCUAGAAGAGGAGAAUGCGCAGCUGUUGAGAGAAGAGGCUGAGCAAAACAAGGAGAGGUUUAAGCAGGCCCAUGGAAAAGGGGUCCCCGGCCCUCCUACAGAAUUAUUCAUUAAGGUACCGAAGUUCUGUGAAUGCUUGGUUUGAUUGCGCUACGGCUUUAAUUGAAGUAAUCACAUGGCCUAAUGGGAUGGAAGGAGUCUUAAGAUCAGUUCUUUACCUUUUUAUACAGAUCAAAAGAUAAAAGGUUGCAUGGAACUUUGAGCUCAGAAAAGCCUUACUCAUGGAGAACCUAAUUCCUGUUGUUGAGAAGCGAAAACCUCCUCGUGGUCUUCGCAGGGUACGUUCUAUGCAGUGGUAGAUGUGGUUCAUAAUUUGGUUUUAGUUAUAGAUAAAUCAGAGAGUCACAUACAGAUAAGAGAAGAAUAAAGAUUGUGGUUUAUGAAAUCUUUUACUGGGAGCUCUUUUGCACAAAAGGCUGGGUACAGCAGUUGACUUGCAGUAUAGUUAAACAAGGCCGAUGAUAGCAGCCGGUGGACGAGUUGGAUCAUUGUCUAUUGUAUCUCUUAGGUAAAAUGUGUUGGAGAAAAAAAAAUGCAUAGAAUUUCCAGAUUCUCCUCACGAGCUGUCGGUCAGAGAAUGUGAGACCUUGAUUAAAGUUGCAUCAUAAUAUUCAUUUUAUGUUAAAAGAGUUGAUGUUUUUAUACCUAUCUGCCAUGGGAUCUAAGAUUAAGGUAUGCCUUUGAACUUGUGACUGCUUUGUAUCAUUGUAUGGUGAGGGGACUAUGCUUUUGUAUUCGGUCAUAUAUUUAAGAGUUGAAAAAUAUUUUAAUGA